rnacentral:tRNA from 1 species
UGUUCUAUGGCUCAGUAGGUUAAAGCCCCGGUCUUGCAGAUACGGAGUCGUGGGUUCGAACCCCACCAGAAUAC